rnacentral:rRNA from 1 species
CACGUAGGGCGCAAGCGUUGUCCGGAAUUAUUGGGCGUAAAGAGCUCGUAGGCGGUCUGUUGCGUCCGCUGUGAAAACUCGGGGCUUAACCCCGAGCCUGCAGUGGAUACGGGCAGACUAGAGGUAGGUAGGGGAGAAUGGAAUUCCCGGUGUAGCGGUGAAAAUGCGCAGAUAUCAGGAGGAACACCGGUGGCGAAGGCGGGUCUCUGGGCCGAUACUGACGCUGAGGAGCGAAAGCGUGGGGAGCGAACAGG